AAUUUGUCUGAAAAAUCUGCUACUACGUAACGGUGCCUGAAAUAAGUUAAACAUUACUUUGAUAAUAAUUGGUAUAGCAUGCGAAAGAUCAAUAAAUGCAUAAAAUGAAUUUAUAUUCACUAUUAGAUGGUAUAACAAAUCAAGUUUGUUCUGCAAGUAAUAAAAAGGAACAAAAGAAAGUGCAGUCAUAAGCGUUUAACAAGUCGAGAAAUAACAUUCGAUGCGUGGAAUCAUAUAACCAAUAUAUUCCCACAAACAUACGUGUAAUAAUCUGCAGACUUAUUAUUUCUUACCAAAUAUUUGAAAUCCAUAUAUC